rnacentral:piRNA from 1 species
UNCUGCCCUUAUCCCCAGAUUGUGACUCAGU